rnacentral:tRNA from 1 species
UCUCAAGUGGCUCAGUGGUAAAGAAUCCACCUGCAAUGCAGAAGAUGUAGGUUUGAUCCCUGGCUUGGGAA